CUCUUUUACAAUCUGUCUUUAAGUAGAGAUAACUUACUCUAAAAUGAAUUCUAAGUAGUUUUCUCUUAAUGGCAAGUGUCUUGU
rnacentral:pre_miRNA from 1 species